rnacentral:tRNA from 1 species
GCGGAUGUGGCGUAGCUGGUAACGCGUCGGCUUCCCAAGCCGAAGAUCGCGGGUUCGAAUCCCGUCAUCCGCUCCA